AUUGAACGCUGGCGGCAUGCUUUACACAUGCAAGUCGAACGGCAGCGGGGUAGUGCUUGCACUAAUGCCGGCGAGUGGCGAACGGGAGAGUAAUAUAUCGGAACGUACCGAGUAAUGGGGGAUAACUAAUAGAAAGAUAGGCUAAUACCGCUUACGUCUUGAGGGAGAAAGUGGGGGAUCGCAAGACCUCCCGUUUUUCGAUCGGCCGAUAACUGAUUAGCUAGUUGGUGGGGUAUAGGCCUACCAAGGCGACGAUCAGUAGCGGGUCUGAGAGGACGAUCCGCCACACUGGGACUGAGACACGGCCCAGACUCCUACGGGAGGCAGCAGUGGGGAAUUUUGGACAAUGGGGGCAAGCCUGAUCCAGCCAUGCCGCGUGUAUGAAGAAGGCCUUCGGGUUGUAAAGUACUUUUGUUAGGGAAGAAAAGGGAAGUACUAAUACCACUUUUUGCUGACGGUACCUAAAGAAUAAGCACCGGCUAACUACGUG
rnacentral:rRNA from 1 species